AAUGGGCGAAAGCCUGACCCAGCCAUGCCGCGUGAACGAAGAAGGCUCUCGGGUCGUAAAGUUCUUUUAUACGGGGAGAACACUGCUAUGCGUAGCAGCUUGACGGUACCGUAUGAAUAAGCACCGGCUAACUCCGUGCCAGCAGCCGCGGUAAUACGGAGGGUGCAAGCGUUGUCCGGAUUUAUUGGGUUUAAAGGGUACGUAGGCGGCUUAUUAAGUCAGUGGUGAAAGUUUGCAGCUUAACUGUAAAAGUGCCAUUGAUACUGGUAAGCUUGAGUACUGUAGAGGUGGGCGGAAUUCCGCAUGUAGCGGUGAAAUGCAUAGAUAUGCGGAGGAACACCAAAAGCGAAGGCAGCUCACUGGACAGUAACUGACGCUGAGGUACGAAAGCGUGGGGAUCGAACAGGAUU
rnacentral:rRNA from 1 species